GACGAACGCUGGCGGCGUGCCUAAUACAUGCAAGUCGAACGCUUUUUCUUUCACCGGAGCUUGCUCCACCGAAAGAAAAAGAGUGGCGAACGGGUGAGUAACACGUGGGUAACCUGCCCAUCAGAAGGGGAUAACACUUGGAAACAGGUGCUAAUACCGUAUAACACUAUUUUCCGCAUGGAAGAAAGUUGAAAGGCGCUUUUGCGUCACUGAUGGAUGGACCCGCGGUGCAUUGGCUAGUUGGUGAGGUAACGGCUCACCAAGGCAACGAUGCAUAGCCGACCUGAGAGGGUGAUCGGCCACACUGGGACUGAGACACGGCCCAGACUCCUACGGGAGGCAGCAGUAGGGAAUCUUCGGCAAUGGACGAAAGUCUGACCGAGCAACGCCGCGUGAGUGAAGAAGGUUUUCGGAUCGUAAAACUCUGUUGUUAGAGAAGAACAAGGAUGAGAGUAGAACGUUCAUCCCUUGACGGUAUCUAACCAGAAAGCCACGGCUAACUACGUGUCAGCAGCCGCCGUAA
rnacentral:rRNA from 1 species